rnacentral:rRNA from 1 species
GUAGGGGGCAAGCGUUAUCCGGAUUUACUGGGUGUAAAGGGAGCGUAGACGGCACGGCAAGCCAGAUGUGAAAGCCCGGGGCUCAACCCCGGGACUGCAUUUGGAACUGCUGAGCUAGAGUGUCGGAGAGGCAAGUGGAAUUCCUAGUGUAGCGGUGAAAUGCGUAGAUAUUAGGAGGAACACCAGUGGCGAAGGCGGCUUGCUGGACGAUGACUGACGUUGAGGCUCGAAAGCGUGGGGAGCAAACAGGAUUAGAUACCCUGGUAGUCCACGCCGUAAACGAUGACUGCUAGGUGUCGGGUGGCAAAGCCAUUCGGUGCCGCAGCUAACGCAAUAAGCAGUCCACCUGGGGAGU